rnacentral:rRNA from 1 species
UGGGGAAUAUUGGACAAUGGGGGCAACCCUGAUCCAGCAAUGCCGCGUGUGUGAAGAAGGUCUUCGGAUUGUAAAGCACUUUCGACGGGGACGAUGAUGACGGUACCCGUAGAAGAAGCCCCGGCUAACUUCGUGCCAGCAGCCGCGGUAAUACGAAGGGGGCUAGCGUUGCUCGGAAUGACUGGGCGUAAAGGGCGUGUAGGCGGUUUACACAGUCAGAUGUGAAAUCCCCGGGCUUAACCUGGGAGCUGCAUUUGAUACGUGUAGACUAGAGUGUGAGAGAGGGUUGUGGAAUUCCCAGUGUAGAGGUGAAAUUCGUAGAUAUUGGGAAGAACACCGGUGGCGAAGGCGGCAACCUGGCUCAUUACUGACGCUGAGGCGCGAAAGCGUGGGGAGCAAACAGGAUUAGAUACCCUGGUAGUCCACGCUGUAAACGAUGUGUGCUAGAUGUUGGGUAACUUUGUUAU